rnacentral:rRNA from 1 species
GACGAACGCUGGCGGCGUGCUUAACACAUGCAAGUCGAACGGAAAGGCCCUGCUUGCAGGGUGCUCGAGUGGCGAACGGGUGAGUAACACGUGGGUGAUCUGCCCCUUACUUUGGGAUAAGCCUGGGAAACUGGGUCUAAUACUGGAUAGGACCAUGCUGUAGGUGGUGUGGUGGAAAGAUUAGUUUCGGUAAGGGAUGAGCUCGCGGCCUAUCAGCUUGUUGGUGGGGUAAUGGCCUACCAAGGCGUCGACGGGUAGCCGGCCUGAGAGGGUGGACGGCCACAUUGCGACUGUGAUACGGCCCAGACUCCUACGGGAGGCAGCAGAGGGGAAGAUUGCACAAUGGGCGCAAGCCUGAUGCAGCGACGCCGCGUGGGGGAUGACGGCCUUCGGGUUGUAAACUCCUUUCAGCCAUGACGAAGCCCUUGUGGUGACGGUAGUGGUAGAAGAAGCACCGGCUAACUACGUG